rnacentral:rRNA from 1 species
AUUGAACGCUGGCGGCAGGCCUAACACAUGCAAGUCGAGCGAGCGGCGGACGGGUGCGUAAUGUAUGGGGACUGCCCGAUAGCGGGGGAUAACUACUGGAAACGGUAUCUAAUACCGCAUACUAUCGUAAAACCCAUAUGGGAUUAGCUAGUUGGUGAGGUAAUGUCUCACCGAGGCGACGCUCCCUAGCUUGUCUGAGAGGGUGAUCAGCCACACUGGGACUGUGACACGGCACAGACUCGUACGGGGGCAGCAGUGGGGAAUAUUGCACAAUGGGCGCAAGCCUGAUGCAGCCAUGCCGCGUGUAUGAAGAAGGCCCUAGGGUUGUAAAGUUCUUUCAGUCGUGAAGCGUUACCGACAGAAGAAGCAACGGCUAACUCCGUGCCAGCAGCCGCGGUAAUUC